UAUAAGAAAUAUCUUGUAUGAGGAUAUUUUGAUCCUUUUCAUACCAGACUUCAAAUGCUGGAAUAAGAAUUCCAGUGCAGUUUCCAGAUCGAUCAAGAAGGAAUUGUGGCGGACAGGUCUCAAAGCCGUUGACAAUUUCGAUGAGCUUGUAGCGUCGCAGGAACCAUACAACUAAUAUUACAAUUGAAGAAACUGAAGACUUGGGAUUCAUCGGAGUAGAAUUGGGAACGAUGAACUCUGGAUGGAUCACAGGCAAAGAACUUGAAGACCGCAUGGAAUUGCUGAGCAAUAUCAGAGAAGAGAAAGAUCAAAGAAGAUAAGAGAAGAUGACAAUUCAGCUUUGGGUGAUUAAGGAAAAUUGCAGGAAGCAGCUCAGGAUCGAAGAGAAGCGGUUUUCAGAGAGGCGGGUGAUACCAUAUAAGGAAUAUCUUGUAUAUUUCUCCACUGAAAGGAUAAGAGUUACAGUUGAGUGUAUACACACUAGUGGAAAAUGUGAUGACUUACACACUAGCCGAUAACGUUCAGCUUAGCUGUUAUGUCUCACCUUCAUCUUUAGCAUUAACCCACGAAAUCCGUUAACACCCGUCAUUGAGGGCUUUUGCGUAAUUUCAAAAGACAUAAUCGAGAAACCAUCGCUCUCUAUGUCUCGCGCCGUUUGCUCUCUGGCUCUCUUUGCUUCUGGCUCCCAUUCUCUCCCUCAUCUUCUUCCUCAAAAAUCAAGGUUUUGCUGAACUUUCCACCUCUCUCCGGUCAACACCGAUUGCCUUCCACAUCUUCUUCCAUGGUGAUUAUUUACGUUUCUGAAGAUUAGACUUUUGGUCUAUUUUUUCUCAGUUUUUUACUUGAGCUUGGUUUUAGGUGGUGCUCUUCACAACAGCUUCGAAUUAAUUUGUUAUAAUGCAAAGUUUGGCCUGUUUAAUCUUGGUCACUGCCCCUGGAUUUCUCAAGAUACCUUUUACAAAUAUUAACAGGGUAUGUGAUCGCAAUUUUCUCAGGCUGAAAGCUCGAAAGCAGGAUCGGUCUAUCUUUCGCGUACUUGAUCACCACCUGUUUAAAGAAAUCUUAGUACAUAUUAUGUGCCUAAAACAACUACAUUAAUCAAUAAUACACAGCUACGAUCCUAUAAAACAGAUCCGGUCCAAGUAAGGCCGUAAAAGUAAUCGUACCAUUGAACAAUUUGUCUGUUAGAUUAGUUACACUGCACUCCACACAGCAAGGAAAAUGUAAAUAAGGAUACAUACAUAUAUUGCAGUGGUUUGAAUGUAAAGAACCAGUUUUUUUUUUUUGUCCUUUCUCCA